GAUGAACGCUGGCGGCGUGCCUAACACAUGCAAGUCGAACGAACCUGAUCUUCGGAAAAGGUUAGUGGCGCACGGGUGAGUAACACGUAGGUGACCUGCCCUGGAGUGGGGGAUAACUUCUCGAAAGAGAGGCUAAUACCGCAUACGCUCGGCCAUUCAGUUGGUCGAGUAAAGCUCCGGCGCUCCAGGAGGGGCCCGCGUCCGAUUAGCUAGUUGGUGAGGUAAUGGCUCACCAAGGCGAUGAUCGGUAGCUGGUCUGAGAGGACGAUCAGCCACACUGGCACUGACACACGGGCCAGACUCCUACGGGAGGCAGCAGUGAGGAAUAUUGGUCAAUGGGCGAAAGCCUGAACCAGCAACGCCGCGUGAGGGAUGAAGGCCUUCGGGUCGUAAACCUCUUUUCUGGGAGAAGAGACAAGGACGGUAUCCCAGGAAUAAGUCUCGGCUAACUACGUGCCAGCCGCCGCCGUAAGAC
rnacentral:rRNA from 1 species